UAGUUGCAUGUUUUCUACAGGUGGUUGAAAGAUACUAGUAGCUGAGUACUUGACAAAUCUUCUGUGUCAUGCAGCUCUUUUGUUGGGUUAUCUUGAGACCAUAAUUAUUUUAAAUGUACAUGACUGACACGUUGUUUAGGGUCCACGUUCUCAUAUAUCCUUGUUCUUUAUGUUGCUGUAGCAUGUGGAAGAUCAUUUCCUUUGUUCUCUGAAUUACAUGCACUUUGGUGAACAAAAAGUAUGAUUGGUGUUCCUGGUGAAAAUGAGUGAAGCUAGAAGAUGCUAUGAGAAGGAACUUGCCAAGACUAUUUGAAGAACAGCCUGAUCUCCUGCAUGAGGGACAAUCCCAACGAUUGUCCAUUCAUUUCAUCCGUCGUGUACAUCUUGGAGAACGGAAGUGCCAAACUUCAUGUCCCGAACCAACCGGUAUAUUCUGCACCUACGAAUAGCAAAGUAGAGCAUGCAACAGGCAAUACUCAAAAUUCAAAGAAUAUGCCAACUUACAGUUCUAGAGAGAAGAUAGGCCAGUUAUCACAUUACAAGAUAUUUUGUAUAGGGGGGCUCAGAUCAGAUAGUUGCAAAGGUGGUUGGUUAUGGGUGUACAUUCCAUUUCCAGCUCCAUUAGGCUUUGUUCGGUUACACCUCCUCACAGCGGGAUUGGGGUGGAUUGGAGGAGGUUUUGACUUGUGGAGGGUGCAAUCCCUGCCAAUCCCUGCCAAACCCCUCCAUUUUCCCUGUCAACCGAACAGGCCCUUAUUCAUGUUGCUAACCCUCUUUC